CCCAGGUGGGUACCCUGCCCCAACUUUCGAGGUCUUUUUUAUAUAUUCUCUUUCUUCCUUCUUGAGGAUAGAGACUGUCUGGCUAGCAUGAAUUGUAUACCCAGCACUUAGCAUCGAACUUAGCGCAUGGUUGCCAUAAUCAAUGAAUUUAUCACCUAGUGCCUGGCACACAUCUAUGGAUCUACCUAGUGGCCAGCCUCCUGAUGAAGACUCUCUCCAUACUUAAUCCUUGGACAGCAGAUUCAGUCUGUGGGCAGACUAUCUUUGAAGUGUUUUGCCAGAACUUAAACUCUGUUGGCAUCGUCUUUUAAAAUCCAGGGUCACCUCCAUGCAAAUGACAAGACAUCAGAGCAGGACUGUGUGACUUUGCUUGG